GAUGAAGAACGCAGCGAAAUGCGAUAAGUAGUGUGAAUUGCAGAAUUCAGUGAAUCAUCGAAUCUUUGAACGCACAUUGCGCCCCUUGGUAUUCCAUGGGGCAUGCCUGUUCGAGCGUCAUUUGUACCUUCAAGCUCUGCUUGGUGUUGGGUGAUUGUCUAUCUUUGUAGACUCGCCUUAAAGUCAUUGGCAGCCGGCAUAUUGGCCUGGGAGCGCAGCACAAGUCGCGCUUCUUGUCAUGAAUGUUGGCGUCCAGUAAGUCUACAUCUUUUGCUCUUGCCCUCGGAUCAGGUAGGGAUACCCGCUGAACUUAAGCAUAUCAAUAAGCGGAGGA
rnacentral:misc_RNA from 1 species